ensembl:lincRNA
GGCAGCGGGGUGCGGCGGAGAGCGCCCCCCACCAGCCCGCGCGCGGUCCUCGGAGCGCGCAGAUGGAGAAACGACCGAGCCGGGCGGUGGAGACGGCAGGGGCUCGGCGGGGGCGCGCGUCCGGCAGGGGCCGCCUUCCCGGAGUUCCUGAGAUGCGGGCGGUGGAGAAGCGGCGGCGAGCUCAGACCUGUCACAUCUCUCCGGACCGUUAAGAAUUUACCGAAAAAAAGAAAGAUGGUGUUUAAAUGUAGGUGUACGCUCAGGUACACACAUCCCAAGGCAGGUGCUCCUAAGAGGUAAAAUGGAAAAAGGUUUCGGGUUGGCCUCUCAUUCGGUAGCGGAUUUCUUUCUUGGCUGGGGAGGGAAGCGGCCCCUGUGCCUGAACCACAGGGGCGGCGCGGCGCCUUCCCUGGGGGACAGGAUCAGGACAGGGCGGAGAGAAGGGACCGCCGAGGAGCCCGGGCCAGCAUGGGAGGUGCUGAUGGUGCAGAACCUUGCUUGCCAACUCUACCCGAAUUUCGUAGUCUAAAGUAGAAGCCAAAGAGAUGAUUUUAUUUGUAAAUUCCAAAGAGGGAUUGACCACCGCAGGCUCCCAGUCCACCUCCCCGGAUGGUGGAGGCCGCGUUCCCUCUCCCUGUAAGGCACUCCACGAAGACGAACUUUUCACGGUGUCCAUUUUAUUCACAGGUGAAGGGCCGAAUGGUGCUCAGAGGAAAUAGCGGAGAGCACAGGAUGCAGUGGAACAGGAAGCCCUUGGGGUUUUGUGCCUUCGGAGUUCUUUGCACAGAUACGGCUUUGGACAUUGUGUGGGUGAGAUCAACACAAAACUGUACUGGAAAAUGUCCCCUAUGGGUCACACCAUUCAUAAUAUCUGGAGGGACUCAUGCAUUACAACUCCAUAAGCCAUGUAUAAAAAUGCAGAGAAAAAUCACGAAGUGGAAAGGCAAACAAUUUUAGUUCUGAUGUUAUCCUACUCACAAAAGGCAAUGAAAGCAAUAUUCAGACAACUGAGGUAUUAGGAAGAUCAUCAAAUUGCACCAUCAUGAAAUUAGAAGUGCUGAGGACUCUCUAGAAAGACCUGGAAUUAGAAGUUUUGAAUGAGAAAAAAAAAUAGAUAUGAAAUUGCAGUAGGAGUUGCCCAAUGAUAAUCUCUAAAUUUCAAAACAGGUCAAGAGCUAGGUGGAUUCUCAUGAAGAGGAUUUCUUCUGCAGAGGUUGUGCUGUGAGUUCAAAGAGGAAGGAGAAAAAUACAGAGCCUUGCUACUCCAAGCACAGAGAAAGAGAACUGAGGAGAAUCCUAGAGUGCCCAGUCCAGGACUUCAAGUUUGAGGAAGGCUGCAAAAUCCUCAGAAACCUCAGGUCAAGGAGCCAGCUGAAGUGUACCAUAGCAGCAGAGGACAUUUUAAGGAUUUGCCAUCCCUGGAAGGCAUGAGGCCACCCUACAAGAAAAGCAUCCAGGUGACACAUAGGAUGAGAGCAGAGGAGACACAAAGGUGGCAAAUGAACUGCAAAGUCAGUGUUGGAAGACAUCAGUUAAAUGUUUAUGUAAUUCUUGUACUGACUGCAAACUACUUGUCCUUCUGGGUACUUACUGGCACAUCCAGCAUUGCCAUUUAUUUAUAUAGUUGUUGGUCUCUUUGUCAGUAUUUUUGCCUUUCCAUCCUGGAUAUCCUUCCCAAACACUGCUAUAUGGUACUAUACUUAAUAUCAUCUAGAAUUGGCAGGUGGGUACAUGGAAGUUUACUUUGAAAAUUCACGAAUCCAGCUCCCUCAGAGGACCUGGUGAUUUGGAAAGAUACAAGGAGAUGUCUUUUCUGCGUGACCUGAAACAAAAGUGGUGAGUUUCUAUUCUCUUUUCUCUUUGCAGACCAUAGAUGGGAUUCCAUUUGACCAUUCAAGAGCUCCGCACCACUUCUAGUUGGGGCGAGAAACCAUAAGCACAGAGGAAAGGCAAUGCUCUUUGUCUCUGGAAUGCUUUUUCACAACCAAGAAAACACAUUUUUGUCUCAAGCUUCGUUAUUCCUGAGAAAGGCAGCAUAAUACAGCUGCAUUCAGAAAGAUUUGAUGUGAUUUCAUGUUUGUAUAAAUAACACUCUGGCUUCAUUUCACCUGUGUUUUCUAGAAAUCUGCAUUCUCCUCUCUUAGAUUUGGGAAUGAAACCUUUAUAACACUCUAUGGGAAAAAACAAACAGAUAAUGUUCUACAGUUCUUCACUGGUUUACGGUAUGCCUAUACCAGGGGGACUCCCUUCUAAAUUGUUCAGAGGACAUACACCCUUGGCAGCAGUGCAAAGACCGGUGGCCCCUAUAGCUGAUGUAUCCACCAUGCCUCUGUCUUCUCAAUCUGUCUAAUAGAAGGUUAAGGUAUGUGCUUUGGGGUUCCUUUUCCCAUUGUACAUAUCUCCUAAGGAUUGUUGGUCUCCAAAGUUUUCAGGUACUCUACAAUCUUAUCUUUUAUUUUGUGUAUCAUGGCCAGAAAUUUUUUCAUGACACAGGUUAGUCACCAAGGAGAAUGAGCAGAGAUUUUGGAGUCAGCCAGACAUGAAUCUGACUUUCAAGAGGUUGUCAUGCAGUUGAAAAAUGUCCACUGUGAUACACUCAGUGCUGUAGUUGGUAGAGACAGGCAUGUUUGUUGAGUGUAGUGGUGCAUCUCUGUGGGAGACAGGCAGGAGGAUCACAGUGUCAGCCCAGCUUGGGUAACUGUUCAAGACCCUGUCUCAAAAUUUAAAAUAGGGUGAGGCUAUUGUUCAGUGUGAAAGUUCUCAUUCUGUAGUACUGGAGGUAAGUAAGACAUCUUAGAGACAGUAGCAAGUUGUAUUUAAUGAAAAUGCACUUUCCCUCUGUGAAGCAUUAUUAUAAUUUGGGUAUAAUUUGAGUAUCUCCCCAAAGCCUACAGCGAAGGGUUUGAUUCCCAGAGUGAUGUACUAUGAAGUACUGUGGACCUUUAAGAAGUGGGGCCUUAUGGAAAGCCCUUAAGUCAUUGGGGGAGUGGCUUCAAAGGGGAUUGAGAGACGUUUGUCUCUGGAUCUCUUUCUGUUCCUAGCUUUAGGAGUGACUACUGGCUCCAACAAACAUCCCUGUUUUCGCCAUCCAGAAUCCUCCCCAGAGGUCUAAGCCAAUAAGGCUGCCUGAUCUCAGAUUUAAAUCUCUAAAGCUGUGAUGAAAACAAACAAUCUCUCUCUAUUAAGUUAGUUGCCUUGGGUAUUUACAUUGUAAUAGCUCAAAGCUAACAAAAGUAAGUGUUAUGUAAGGAGCCUUCCUUUCCCAAAGAGUUUUGUAAGAGGUGUUCUUAGGAGUUGGGCACCUCUUUGCUGCUCUUAACAAGCUUUAGGGACAAAAAAAGACACAGUGUAAAAGCACUGACUUUAGAUCCACAGGGGAUAAGUGCACCUAUAGUCCAUAACUUGUGUGCCACCCACCACCACCACCAUGAUAGCCUUCGUCAAGAAGUAGUAAUUGUUACUAUCUCAAAGCAGAUCUGAUCCCUCUGUUAUCGCUAAGAAAGUGUGUUUCAGAAAAAAAACCCUGCUCAUUGCUUUUAAAUUGAUAAAGAAGAAAGGAAAACACAUGCAAAUUCACUUAGAAGGAACAUCCACUGAAACCAUAAAAGCCAACAAUGCCCACCACUUGUGCAAUAGAUACUCCAGAGACUUCAGAAGGCUUAGAAAAUCACCGGACCUGUUCUUUGCACUGUUUUUUGAGACUCAUGCAAUUUUGGUGGAAAAUGAGAUUUAUUUAUACAAAAAGAGAAUGAAGGCUCAAAUAUGUAUUUAUGUUGUAUGUAAUUGUGUCAGUAUGUAGCUUGCAACCAGAGAGCAAAUAGUAAAGGGGAAUAAAAGAUUGACAAGAACUGAUUGGUGGUGAAAUUAUCAACUGACUCCAGUUUUCUUAGGUGUUAUCUGAGUAGCUUAAAAGCUAUAGUUUGAUUUAAUAUCACUAAUGUCAAAGACAAACAAGCAAGAAAAUUGAUUUUAGCCAAGAAUAGUGAUAUAGAACUCUAAUCCCAGCACUCUGGAGGCUGAGGCAUGAGGACUGCUGUGAAUUGGAGGCCAGGAUUACAUAGUGAAUUCAAGGUAAGCCUCCUAAACUACAUGGCAGGAGCUCAUCUCAAAAAAAAAAAAAAAAAAAAAAGAAAGAAAGGAAAAGAAAAUUGAUUUUAUUCAGGCUAUUACAAUAAAAUGAUGUCCCCAAAUGUCUCAGCAUCAUGGUUGAUCUUUUGACUCUCAUAGGGAGGAACUUGGGUGAUUUAUUCUUGAGGUUGCUUGGCAGUCAGGUGAAGUCUCAGGAAGUUAGCUGAAAAGGAAAUGUUCCUCUCUGUUUCUGCUAGUUUCAGGGGCAAGGACAGUUCUAAUCUUAGAUCAUCAUUUAUGACAGAAAGUUGAGGAACUUGGAGUCUGGCUUUUUCAGUUAGGUCAAGAAAAAAAAGGUCUGAGUUUAUCUUUGUCAUUAGUGCACAAGAGAGUCACUCUGAAAACAAAAAUUGGGGGAGUAGAUUUGUUCAGCAUCAUUUUCUUUUCCUAGGACCUUGACACAUAAUUUUAUGGUUCUGUUUUGAGCAUUACAGGAAUUUGUGUUAAUAGUUAUUAGUAAAAAUAAGGAUGUUAAUAUCCCUAUAUAUUUAUGCUUCCUUUUUCCUUAUGUGGGAAAUAAAAAAUUAUCCCAAAUCUUUAGUACCUAUGAAAAAACAUAAAAGAACAUAAGAAUUCCACAGGGAACUAGAUAAAAAAUAUAUCUGAAUUUGACAAAACAUUCAGCAAACUGAUAUCUUAAAAGUUACGGAUAUUUUAGAAUUUAGAAGCUACAAAACUAUAUCUCAGUAAAUCCCUUAAAACCAUUAAUAUAACCCUACAUUACUUAUAAAAAACAAAUUGUGUCAAGGUUUUUGUUGUUUUUCUUUAGAGCUUUUCUAACAUUUUUUAUUGUUUAUAUACGAUUAUUUUUAACAACCUUCUGUCUUGAAUAUAGAAUUUUUAGAAUAUUUGACUAGUAUAUUUAACCAAUCAUUGUGUUUAUACAUGCUUGUGUGAGGGGUGUGUGUGUAUAUGUGUGUGUAUGUGUGUGUGUGUAUCUUUGUAUUACCUGUGGAACAAGGAAAAAUAGGAAUUAAAUUAUGUAUAUGAAUUGGAGGAAACAAGACACUGCACAGUAAUGAUUAGAUUCCAAACAACUGAAAGACAGAUGCCAGAAACAAAACUCUGCAGGCUUAUUUCUCCAAAAGAAUUGGAUAGAGUUGGAAAGUACAAAAUUGAUCCCCUCAGAGAGCAGUCAGGCCCGCUCGAUCCCACUGUU